CUUGAACUGCCAAAUCAAACAAUGUUUUUAUCCUCACAUAGUCGUCUAAAGUCCUACAGUUUUUGCACUCAUCUAAAAGGUAAUCUACCCACAAAUCUAAAAACCAUUAAUAAAUGCUUGUCAAAAGAUUAACAAAGUUAAAGUAAUUAGUGAAUAAUUUUUGCGAGUCUAUGGAAUUCGCCUCAACACGCUUUACCUAGACGAUUGUUGAUUGACAUACCUUCUGAAAGUGGAAAGAUCGAUUGAAAAGUCUUUCUAGCCUCUGACAACUCCUUCUUUUUAUCUAGACGCUUUAACUCUUCAAUGAGUUUAAUAUGACUAUCAUAAUUAUAGGGAUGUAAAAUCGUAAAUUUGGUCAAUUCAUCCAGAAGCAAAGGCUUUUUUUCGUUUUGUUCUUGUGGAUCAAUAUCCAUUUCGACAUUCUCAUCUUUUAAAUCUUGUAUUUGACU